AAACUGGUAAACACCACAGGCUUCUCCCAAGUCUCUGGAAGUAACUCUGAAGGACAUUUAAUUGAUCUUGACCGUUAAAUAGAAAAAGGCUACGGUUUGGUUAUUUAAGAGAUUUUUAAAUAGCCGAUCAGCGAAGUGCAGCCACAGAAUAGAAUGAUUGGUCAUGCCAAACAAAAAGAGCUAUACCAGGCUUUUUAAAGGGACAAACAAUGAGUAAGGCCUCCCAGGCCUCCUCGUGGAUUCCUGGCAUGCCAGACAGGGCAGGAUCUACAAAAUCAGAUCGAGACUGUGGCACAUACUCCAUUCCUUUGGCUCUCCCUUGUGCAGCACAUGGCUGGUGUGGAGCUCAGGGCCGUGCUGGGAUCCCAUAGCUUUGACUCCUGGCCUUAUUAGACAGACCAAGUUUGCCUACUCUGAAGAAAUGACUGGCUUCUCACUCUUCUUUCACGGUCCUCCACGGUUGCCAGGGUCUGCUGUCUCAGGUCCUCCCAACUUGAUGUCAAAUGGUGGCUUUGUAUAGCAUGAGUACCCAUAGGGACUUUUUGAUUUUAUUUGGUUGUCUGUUCUUCUUCGACAGGGUGUCUCUGUUUUUCUCAUGGCUGUUCUGGAACUCACUCUGUAGACCAGGCUAGCCUCAAACUCACAGAGCUCUGCCUGUUAAAGUUGCCACAGCCUGGGCUUUCUCCAACAGCAGUGCUGAGCCUCCCCUUUCAGAGCCUCUGUUAAUGAUGCUGUGGGUUAUGGCUUUCAAGGACAUCCAGUGUCCUUCCCAAGGGCAAAAGCCUUUGAGAAUCUUGACAGAACAUCGGGCAAGAACCAAAUGUUUUCAUGACAGAACAAAAAUCAGUCCUGCACAGCCAAGCACGGUACUCUUCUUGAUGAAAGAGAAAAAGCAGUUUGGCAGAUGUUUGGGCCUAUGUCUGAAGUAUACGAGCAACAUUCUAGAAUGGAAUUCGUCAGACAGAGACUGAUACCAACCCUGCUUGAUUGACUUCUGCGUGGAUCUGUUAUCCCAAGACUAUACCAGUUCUUGUUCUAACACAACCAUUGUGGCACCCUGCAGAUGGAGGCAGGAAGAUCACAGAUGACAAGUUCCAGGUCAGCGUAGGUUACAUAGUAAGUCUGAGGGCCACCCCACUCAGUUCCAUUCUUUAGAGGUGACAACAAAAAGCCCCUCAUUCCAUCCUGACCACAAGGGAGAGAUCUCAGUUUGAUGGCUAAUUUUCCAACCCCCAACAUCCCAGGAGAAACCGCCUUCAAAAGGAAAUCUUGCUUAAAACCUUACACUUGCAGGACCUAGUUUUAGAGACAUGGUAAAGUCCGUGGAGAAAGGUCAGGAUCUCUAACUGUACGUUUUUAUUUGUAGCAUUAAUGUCACAUGAGCAUGCGCUAUACAAGGCUGAAGGUAGGGGAAAAAAAAAUCCUGAGACUAAAUAUACCGUACAUAAACAAGUUGGAAAGAAAGUCAACAUGACCUGGGUGAGCUUGUUUUGCACAAUAGCAAAGUCUCGGGACCUUCUCAUUUCCACAUUUAGGAGAGGUGAAUGUCCGGUGUGCUGGUGCAGCUAAAACUUUCCUCCUCACAUCAGGUUCCCACCUUUAAGCAGACGUUCUGGAGAUUUGCUCUCUCACGGCAUCUUGAGGAGCUUUUCCUCUUUUUUAUUUUUUAUUUUCUAGAAGAAUCUAGAAAAGUGCUUCCAAGAGAGUAGACACACUAAUGACAUAACUCAUUUAUGUACAUACAUACAUCAUCACAUUCUUUUAUAUUGACUGACACAAAUCUGUAUAAGAUCAUCUCUAAACAAUAACUACAUUAC
ensembl:lincRNA uncharacterized LOC110302858